rnacentral:rRNA from 1 species
GACGAAGGAUGCAAGCGUUAUCCGGAUUCAUUGGGUUUAAAGGGUGCGUAGGCGGACCUGUAAGUCAGUGGUGAAAUCUCUUUGCGUAACAAAGAAACUGCCAUUGAUACUGCAAGUCUAGAGUAUAGAUGACGUUGGCGGAAUAUGACAUGUAGUGGUGAAAUACUUAGAUAUGUCAUAGAACACCGAUUGCGAAGGCAGCUAACGAAACUAUAACUGACGCUGAGGCGCGAAAGUGCGGGGAUCAAACAGG